ACAGCAGGGACUGUGUGUAUCGGUGCUGUGCUAAAAAAAUGCACUUUAAAUCCGAAAGUAAUCCCUGCAAUAAAAAUGGGAAGAUGGGCAGUUGUGUUUCAAUUACUUUCCAUUGAAAUUUCUCAACAAUCAUCUUCCCUACAUUU